UCCGCUGUAGCGUAGUGGUAAGCAUUCAUGCCUGUCACUCGCAGGACCCAGGUUCAAUUCCUGGUACCGGAA